rnacentral:rRNA from 1 species
GACGAACGCUGGCGGCGUGCCUAAUACAUGCAAGUCGAGCGCAGAAGCUCGGUACUUGUGCCAACUGGGUGAGCAGCGAACGGGUGAGUAACGCGUGGGAACUCUGCCUUUGAGCGGGGGACAACAUGUGGAAACGAAUGCUAAUACCGCAUAAAAUCUUUAAACACAAGUUUUAAGGUUGAAAGAUGCAAUUGCAUCACUCAAAGAUGAUCUCGCGUUGUAUUAGCUAGUUGGUGAGGUAAAGGCUCACCAAGGCGAUGAUACAUAGCCGAACUGAGAGGGUGAUCGGCCACAUUGGAACGGAGACACGGCCCAUACUCCUGCGGGAGGCAGCAGUAGGGAAUCUUCGGCAAUGGACGAAAGUCUGACCGAGCAACGCCGCGUGAGUGAAGAAGGUGUUCGGAUCGUAAAACUCUGUUGGUAGAGAAGAACGUCGGUGAGAGUGGAAGGCUCGUGAGGUGAGGGUAACGACCCAGAAGGGGACGGCUAACUCGGG